GACGAACGCUGGCGGCGUGCUUAACACAUGCAAGUCGAACGAAGUGGCGAACGGGUGAUUAACGCGUAAUCAACCUCCCCUUCAUAGGGGGACAACAGUUGGAAACGACUGCUAAUACCGCAUACUGCAUGCGGGGAUUGCGUCUGAUUAGCUAGGUGGCGGGGUAACGGCCCACAAAGGCGAUGAUCAGUAGCCGGUCUGAGAGGAUGAACGGCCACAUUGGGACUGAGACACGGCCCAGACUCCUACGGGAGGGAGCAGUGGGGAAUCUUCCGCAAUGGACGAAAGUCUGACGGAGCAACGCCGCGUGAGUGAUGACGGCCUUCGGGUUGUAAAGCUCUGUUAAUCGGGACGCGGUACCGGAAUAGAAAGCCACGGCUAACUACGUGCCAGCAGCCGCGGUAAUA
rnacentral:rRNA from 1 species